CUUUUUCUGGCGACCUAAAGGAGGCGGGGCCCCAUUUCCAAAUACAGCAAUAAGGCUUCAACAUGAAUUUGGGGGAAACACCAACAUUCAGUCUAUAAUAAUUGCUGAUGAUGGAAAUGUGACCAGAAUGGGAAAUGAGAGUGGAAGGGGAAGAACUGAGGCAUGAGGUAAAUACCUGUGGAUGAAAUUGCUGGAUCAUUUUGUAAAAAAGAAUCAUGCCCUUUGAAGGACAGACCCGCUCCUGGCUGUGUCCGUCCCAGUGGGGGCUCAACCUGAUGACUUGCAGAUGAAGAGUUCACCUGCCUCGGCCAGGAAAGCACAAAUCAUGAUAUCAGGAGCUGCUGAGACCCCUGAGUGUCAGAUCCCAAUCCCCUGGGUGUUUUGUGAGAGCAGGCCCCUCACCCACCACUGCUGAGCAGGCUGCUGGUAAUUCCAUUAUGAAGAAGCAGCACCGAUAACCCGGCCGUGGAAACUGGUGUUGCUCUGAAAUUCAGCCCACUGAUUCCUAGCCAAGUGCAUAUUUCAUUUAUUUAUUAUUGUUUUAUUGCUACGUUAUUGUCAAAAUGAGAAGACAACAGCCUUUUGCCCAUUCCGUGUUGUUCAACUGCAAAAAUA